GCCUCUUGAUUAAACCAUAAGAGGUCCAGCCUGCCCAGUGACAUUGUUCAACGGCCGCGGUAUCCUAACCGUGCGAAGGUAGCGUAAUCACUUGUCCUUUAAAUGAAGACUAGUAUGAAUGGCCCCACGAAAGCUAUACUGUCUCCUUUUUCUAAUCAGUUAAACUAAUCUCCCCGUGAAGAAGCGGGGAUAAACAUAUAAGACGAGAAGACCCUAUGGAGCUUUAAACAACUGAAACACUUGUAUACCUCCCUUCACCUACCCACAUUUAACUCCACAUCUUGUUUCUAGUUUUAGGUUGGGGUGACCACGGAGAAAAAACUAACCUCCACGAUGAAAGAGACAUCUCUAAACAAAAAGACACAUCUUUAUGUAUUAAUAUAUUAACCUUUAUUGACCCAAUAAAUUGAUCAACGAACCAAG
rnacentral:rRNA from 2 species